rnacentral:tRNA from 1 species
GCGGAUGUGGUGGAAUUGGUAGACACGCCAUCUUGAGGGGGUGGUGAGCCUAGCUCGUGAGGGUUCAAGUCCCUCCAUCCGCA